CCGGGUCCCGGGGCCUUGGGGAAGGACCCCCUAGCCGCAUGCCGGCCCCAAGUGCAAAGCAUUGACACGUUCCGGAGAGGAGAGGGGGCGCCCUUUCCCUCCCGCGCCGGGAGGCCCGGCCGCUCUUGCCUGCGCCCCAGCCUGGCCUCCCACCCCACUCCCGGUCACCGCCCCGGGUCCAUGCACUUCGGAGGGAGGCUGCGGGCACUGGAAAGCGAGGCCGGUGGGCGGGCAAGUCAGGAGGCUCGGGCGGCCGAGGUCCCGGAGCCGAACUCAGGUGGCCGGAGCCGGCACUGGUGUCUGCAGCAGACAGGUGCCAACUGAGAAUGGAAGAGGGGACAAUAUGAACUGCACAGCUCAGCUCAGUGGCAGGGAACCAGUGUGCAGACCCAAGUGAACAAGAGCAGGGCUAGAUGGCCCUCAAGCUGGCACAUUACGGAAAGGAUGAUGCAGAGGUGACAGAUCCCACAACGUCUCGGCUUGGUGACUCGGCCAUGGCAUCUGCAAGCCGUUCCCGGAGGCCCUCCUCUGUGUGCUC